rnacentral:rRNA from 1 species
UCGGAACGUGUCCUGUAGUGGGGGAUAGCCCGGCGAAAGCCGGAUUAAUACCGCAUACGCUCUACGGAGGAAAGGGGGGGAUCUUAGGACCUCCCGCUACAGGGGCGGCCGAUGGCAGAUUAGCUAGUUGGUGGGGUAAAGGCCUACCAAGGCGACGAUCUGUAGCUGGUCUGAGAGGACGACCAGCCACACUGGGACUGAGACACGGCCCAGACUCCUACGGGAGGCAGCAGUGGGGAAUUUUGGACAAUGGGGGCAACCCUGAUCCAGCAAUGCCGCGUGUGUGAAGAAGGCCUUCGGGUUGUAAAGCACUUUUGUCCGGAAAGAAAACGCCGUGGUUAAUACCCGUGGCGGAUGACGGUACCGGAAGAAUAAGCACCGGCUAACUACGUGCCAGCAGCCGCGGUAAUACGUAGGGUGC